GUCCCAGUGACUUUUGGAGUUUUGUCGUCCAUGGAUUGGGUAACAUUUGAAUAAUGACAUUUUCCUCGCUGGGCUAUUGGGGAGUUAAGUGAGAUGAUGUAUGCCCGAAAACACCCAAGUCACUGCAGAAAAUGGAGGGAGUGCAGCUUGAACGAGCUGGUUCUUUUCCUAAAUCCUUCAUCCUGGGACAUGCAAGCCAGCUUCUCCUGCCUCGAUGGGGAAGCCCUGGAUCUCUGGGAGCCUAUUAGCUGAGCCAAGUGGAGAGUUAAACAUCCAAACUGACAAGGGGGAGCAGAGCUAUUUCAGAGCACCCCACUACCCCAGCAGAUGGUUCUGGGCCAGAUGGCUCCAGAGCAGGGGGCAAGGGGGAGGCAGCCAGGUGUUUAUUGUGGCAGCAGAGAUGUGAAAGGAAGAGUUCACUUGUCCACCUCCCUGCUCUUCCUCGGAUUUCUGCUCCAGAGGGGCCACUGCCCAGCCCUGACAGAUGUGCAGUCUGGGAAGGUUUCCAGGUGCAGUGUUGGAGACACCCGAGCUUUAAUAAUCUCCAAUGCCGAAUUAUUCACUCUGUGACCCUGUCAUUUGGAGAAUACAUUGGACGCUGGCGGAUUCACCAUACAGUAGCUCAUUAGUUUUUGAACUCUUCAAAGAGAACCAAACAGCCAUCAAAUUCAAACCUGUCUGCUCCCACAAGAAACUUUCUUCCCUUGGAGCUGACAGAGAGCCCAAAGAGAGGGCGGAUCCCAGGGCCGG